GGUGGAAACUUUUUGGGGGCGGUGUGGCAGAGGACAGUAGGUUUGGGGUAAGCUGUCUGUGGUGAGGACAUGGAGCCAAGUGGAGCUGCCUCUCUGGCCAGGAGCAGCUCAUCUACAGGCGGUGACAAUCCCAGGAGGCGGUAGCUGACUGCUCUAGUGCAGCUGCCCUCACCAAAUGGGUGUAUUUCAGCCUGCCCUUGGCCAAGCUGUAUCUGGGUUGUGGCCAGAAGAGGGGAAAAAAAAAUCUCAUGGGCUGAGCACAUGGUCUCCUAAACUGUACUCUUGGCUCUCAGUGGUGGGUGUUGAACUUGGUAGGUUGUUGAGCCUUUGUGUGCUUUGGUAUCUCCAUCUAUGAAGCAGAGAUAACAGUUGGCUUCAUGCAGGGAUUAAUUAUCGCAUCUUGUAGUCACGUAUUUGUUUAUUUGUUUUUACUAUAGGUUACAGCUGGAGGAAUUCUAAACAGUCCACUUCUCCUUGUCAUGGUGUUUGAGCGCAUUGUGCUCGGGUCUGAACAGAGGAAAUCACUGAGGUAUCUGCUGCUACUGGAACUGAAAGUGAAAUCCCUAGCUGUUGGUCUGGUUGCUGUCCUUAGGACAUGUGAAUGUCUGCUCCUGUUCUGCUGUAGCUGCAGCUCCUCAGUGGUUCCACAGACCUGCUUUGUCACGGAGUGUCAGUAACUUCACAGAACUCACUGCAUCUGCUGCUGUACUUGGAAUCAACUCUGGCAUCUGUCUAAAUGUAGCUGGAAAUGGAUAGACACCAUUUAUGACUGAAUAUCCUGAGUCACUGAUUCCCAGCUGGCAUGUGCACUGCAGUUCCGUCUCUUCCUUUCCGACUGCACUCCCUAGAGGAGAUUGGGAACAACUGCAGUCGUCAGCUCCAGCGUGGUGUGUGCGUUUGCCGGGAUCCACACAAUUGGUGGACAACCCCUGUCUACGUCUAUGGGGAAGCAAAGGACUGGAUACCCUAAACAGUGACUGCAGUGGAGCCAUUUCCAGAGUAAGGAGUUUCCUAGUAGGUCAAAGUCCACUGCAAGCAGUGACUUAUACAAUUCCCUGUGUAAGUCAGGCUGGACUGCCUGUGCCUCAGGUUCUAACAGCAGGGGAGCUUGUGCAAGAGCACCUUGGUAGGUGUUUGUCUGGAAUUCUCUGUGGUCCCUGUGAUGAUCCUAGGAAGCAGGAGAAGAUCCAGAAUUGUCUGAAUGCCAGGAUUCUUUGAAAUCACAGAGAAGUUAUGAUAAGAGUUGUGGCUGAGGCCAACCUGCUAGCCUGCUUCCCAUUCUGCUUCUUGUAUGUGUCCAAGAAGCUGCCUCCAGUUUAUACUGUUGCACUCUAGUAAACAAUUUUGCAUGCAGAUAUGGGCAGCAGAUGUUACUCAUGCCCAUGUGAACACUUCAGUGUUUUUACAGCAGGGAUGAUCCUUGGAUUGAGUCCUGUUAAACAAUGGAUGUACCCACCAGAAGUCCCACUGGUUACAGCCAUUCUGUUACAGCUUGCUCAAAACACUUGGAAGGAUGGUCACGCCAUCCUUCUUUGGCCACUCAAGGGGAUUGACUCACAAAUAUGAGCAAAAUAAAAUUAGAUGGCUUAAGUGGCUGCAACCCCAGCUGUGUCCCCACUGCCCAAUUCCCAGAAGGUCAUCCCUGCAGCCAGGCUGGCUGUGGAAGGCAACUCCUGGGCUGCUGUCGUGACAGCCCAUUCUUCAGGGUGUUAAUAUUUGUCUGGCUCCUCUGUGAAACAGUUUAGGAAGCUUAACCAGAAUAAAAAUGUGCACUUUUCCAUCUGAAGGAUUUUUUUUUAGUUUAAUUUCUCAAAUGGGCUCUGAGAAGCAGCAGCGUUGCUGUGAGGGCAGGGCAGGGAGAGAUGACCUUCCCUUUUGGGAGCAGCCAUUACGUCAGUUUUGCUGCCUCACAAAACUAUACCCUACAGUUAUUUUUGGUGCUGGACUGCCUUAAUUUUCUGGAGAGUGAACGAAGGAUUAGCAUAGUGUGCUUAUGACAUUUGGAAACUAAGCUUUUAGAAAAAAAAAUCAUAAUUCAGCAUGUGCUGAGGUGGAAAUACUUAAAUUGUUAGGAAUGGGAAAGAUGAGUAAAACGUGAAUUUUUUACAAUUUUUCCAAUUCAGCUAGGGGGUUAAAUCCUUUUUUAAUUUUUUGGGUUUUGCUGCUUUUUAAGACCUCUAACCCAAUGCCUACUAUCCAGCUGCCUCUAGAGAGAGAAGUCUUUAAAGAGACCAGCUUUGUACCUAUAAAUAAUGUACACAGCAGAGUACAAAAAUGGAGUCAAGGAGAAGCUCCUCCUUACCUGAAUGUAACUGCAGCAGCUCUGUGAGAAUAGCUGUGGUCAGGCUGUGAGCAGCACUCCUACCCUGUCAUCCAUCUUGACUAAAUUGCUUCUGGGAGCUAAUUCUGAGAUUCCAACACUUGAAUAUCAACUGGUAAAUCCCAACUGCCUUGUACUGAAACACAUUAGAUGCCAGCAGCCAAACGUGGCAAGGUUUUGAACAGUGUUUGGAACUAAAGGUCUGCUGGAGUGUUUUGUUAAGCUGGAUGUGUUGGAAUAUGGAGAAUUUUGCAAGUCUGAACCCCUGCUAUAAAUGAAAACACUGUGGCAAAAAAAAUGUAAAUAAAUGCCACACAUACUUUGUGUAAGAGCCCUUCCCAAUAUCUAUAAAUAUGGUAAUUUUGGUGUUUCCCAAUUUUGAGUUUUAAACAGGAGACAGACACAUGAAAUAUUACAAAGCAAGCAUUUUAUUUUUUUUCAUGGAUUAAUUUUCUAAUUUCACUUCUAACUUGUUCUAAAUUGUUCUAAAACAAUUAAUGGAAACGAAAUGUAGUGUUUUAAAGAGGAUUGCCUUUGAAAGGAAAUAAUUUGUUCUUGAAAAAAUAACUUCAGUAGCUUCUCAGUUUAACUGCAUUUUAAUAUGUACACAAAACUCAUCCCGGGUCAGACUCUCCAGGAAAACUUUCUCAUGAUUCCUGUAGCAGUUGAUUCAGUCCUUGCUGCCUUAAUUUUGCAGCUUCAAAUGGCAGGUUCUCAGCAAAGCCAUCCACUUCAAAGCUUCAUAAAACAGAGCUUUGAAUAAAUUACCAAGUUAGAAAUUAUACUGGCUGUGCCCAGCUUAGUGCCUGGAUGUGGGAAUACUUGGCACUGGGUGUGGAAUUCCAAGGAAAAUUGCCUCUUUGCUGGCUUGCCAAAGAGCAGUAAGAAGAAAAACUGCUGCAAAUGAGCAGACACGGAAAUCUCCAGCUUCCCUUUCCAGAAAACACAUCCUGAAGAACUGUUGAAUAUUAAUACACAUUAUAACUGGUGCAACAAUGGGCAAACACUGGGAUUAACAGAAACUACUGCUUCUGGAGGGGAUGUGUCCCAGCGUGGCCACGGGCAGCACUGCCUGCUGGAACUGCUCUUACCUUUAAAAUGCAUCCCUGGGGAUGCAACGUGGAGUCAGUGGAAGUGGGGCAGGCCCACCGUGUGUGGACACACCAUGUUGGGGUGUGGGAUGCCCGUGCUUCAUGUGCCAGGUGAUGAGCCCCAGGCUGUAUUAUUUUGGAUUUUUUUUCUCUCUUUUGAAAGCUUUAGAUAAUAUAAUACUGAUAACAUGAUACUUCUAAGCAGUGACAUAGUUGCUUUGUCUUUCACAAAGAGACAGCCCACCUUCCUCUGUAUUCAGAUUUCUGGUCUGUGUGUGUGGAGAUGAUUUGUCUAUAAUUGUUUGCUUUCUUCAGAGUCUUUUGAAGUUUAAAUCUUCAAACCAGCUCCCUAUAUUAAAAAUAAAUUCUUCCAAGCCACCAAUAAAAUGUCAGCUGUGAUUAAA